AAAUUGAAGAGUUUGAUCAUGGCUCAGAUUGAACGCUGGCGGCAGGCCUAACACAUGCAAGUCGAACGGUAACAGGAAGCAGCUUGCUGCUUUGCUGACGAGUGGCGGACGGGUGAGUAAUGUCUGGGAAACUGCCUGAUGGAGGGGGAUAACUACUGGAAACGGUAGCUAAUACCGCAUAACGUCGCAAGACCAAAGAGGGGGACCUUCGGGCCUCUUGCCAUCGGAUGUGCCCAGAUGGGAUUAGCUAGUAGGUGGGGUAAAGGCUCACCUAGGCGACGAUCCCUAGCUGGUCUGAGAGGAUGACCAGCCACACUGGAACUGAGACACGGUCCAGACUCCUACGGGAGGCAGCAGUGGGGAAUAUUGCACAAUGGGCGCAAGCCUGAUGCAGCCAUGCCGCGUGUAUG
rnacentral:rRNA from 1 species